rnacentral:rRNA from 1 species
UACGUAGGGUCCGAGCGUUGUCCGGAAUUAUUGGGCGUAAAGGGCUCGUAGGCGGUUUGUUGCGUCGGGAGUGAAAACUUACAGCUUAACUGUGAGCGUGCUUCCGAUACGGGCAGACUUGAGGUAUUCAGGGGAGAACGGAAUUCCUGGUGUAGCGGUGAAAUGCGCAGAUAUCAGGAGGAACACCGGUGGCGAAGGCAGCUCGCUGGGACGGUACUGACGCUGAGACGCGAAAGCGUGGGGAGCAAACAGG